CAUCACUUUGGAGGAACUUUAGCCACUGAAAUAUUCCUGUUUCUAGCAAAGCUAUAAAGUCUUGGAAGUAAAUCUUUUAGCAAUAUAUUGUUCCAUGUAUCCUCCCAAAAAAGAACACUUUGUCCAUCUCCUACAGUGCAGGUGGCCGCUCUUCCAAAAAGAUCACAUAAUUUCAAUAGAUCUUUCCACCAAAAAGAACCUUUCUCAGCUGUAGCUUGAGGAACCUCCCCAUUGCUAUAAUAAGUCUCCCAAAUCAAAUUCACCCAAGGCCUGCAGAUUUUUUUCAGAGCUACUAGAGGCUUCUUCUUAUCAUUGAUGUCUGAUCCUCUCCAAAGACGGUCUCUCCUGGCUCGGUCUAAGUUAUUAAUGACCCCAGAGGGACUUUCAGGGUACACAUGGUGUAUGUUGGUAGAGCAGAUAGGACAGCUUUGGUUAGCUCUACUUUGCCUGAAAAAGCCAGAAAGUUUGAAGUUGCUGUCAGUCUUCUUUCCAUCUGGUUCACUAGUGGUGCAAAAUCCACAAUUUUCGGUUUGGUUGUGCCUAGUGGGACCCCGAUAUAUGUAAAAAGCAAGCUUCCAACUUGGCAUCCAAAAGCACUAGCCAGAUCACUUGCUUUCUCAGGUGUGGUGUUGAGUGGGACAAGGCAGGAUUUGACUUUCAAUCCUAUUGAUUGUGCAAACUCCUCCAAGAUUUCUUUGAGAAAAUCAUUGCUUGCUGAUGCUGGUAUGGGUCAUCAUGAUAAGGAUAGUGUCAUCUGCAUACUGAAUGAUGGGAAAAUCAUUGCUUGCUGUUGCUGGUAUGGGUAAGCUUAGAAGAUCUUGGUUGUGUGCUUUGUUGAUGAUAUGUUGCAACAAAUCUGCAGCUAUCACAAUUAGGUGGGGGGAUAGGGGGUCCCCCUACCUUACCCCCCAUUUACACUGAAAAUCUUUCCCAGGAACUCCAUUUAGUAGGAUUGAAGAUGAACCAGAGUGAAAUAGCCUCUGAACCCAAUUGCACCUUUGUGUACUGAAUCCAAUCUGCUGAAGAAUUGCAAGUAUUGUACUGUGUUCUAUUGUAUCGUAGGCCUUCUCAAAAUCUAGCUUUAGAAUUACAAUUUCCCUUCUUGACUGCUGGCAUUGGUGUAUAUACUCAAAAGCCCAGGCCAAACAAUCCUGUAUGGUCCUAGUCUUAAUAAAACCAUAUUGAUUUUUGUGUACAAUUGGUAUGAUUUCCUUUUGUAAUAUGUCAGCCAUGAUUUUGGUUA